GAUGAAGAACGCAGCGAAAUGCGAUAAGUAAUGUGAAUUGCAGAAUUCAGUGAAUCAUCGAAUCUUUGAACGCACAUUGCGCCCCCUGGUAUUCCGGGGGGCAUGCCUGUCCGAGCGUCAUUACAACCCUCAAGCUCAGCUUGGUGUUGGGCCCCGCCGCCCCGGCGGGCCCUAAAGUCAGUGGCGGUGCCGUCCGGCUCCGAGCGUAGUAAUUCUUCUCGCUCUGGAGGUCCGGUCGUGUGCUCGCCAGCAACCCCCAAUUUUUUUCAGGUUGACCUCGGAUCAGGUAGGGAUACCCGCUGAACUUAAGCAUAUCAAUAAGCGGAGGG
rnacentral:misc_RNA from 1 species